GGGCAGUCAAGGAAAUUGUGAAUUGUCUGUUUUAAGAAGAAGAAAAAAAAGUGGCGACCUGACACCUGAGUGCUGAGUCCGAGACUGAUGAGCACGUUGUGACUUUGAGUUCAGAGCUUUCAUGUAAAAGAGGCUUACCUUUUUAUUGAGUGUGGAAUGUGGUCGGGGAGAAGAACAGUUUCCAACAGUUAGUCAGAGCUAUGUACUAGCUAUAUAGAUUAUAGCUCUGAGUUAGUUAGGUUACUUAUAAUAUUAAGUCACCAGCCAAUCCUAUCUGGAAUUUUGCUAUAGAUGAGACUAGACUUUCAGACGGUCGUCAACGUUGAGAAAGAAGAAGAAUCUGAAUCCAAAGUAGAGCCAGAAGAACCAACUACUAACAGUAUACCAAAAGAACUUAUUCCACACGCUCCAAGACUAGCAUUAUUGUGGCUUAUCAUUGUUGACUUACGAAUAAUGGUUUUGCUGGUGGAGUCAUCAAUGAGGAAAGCAUGACGUAUGUUAACCAGUACACGAGCAAUCCACUUGUGGCCAGUAAGCACCAGGCAUCGGAGGAGAAACACAGUAAAUGUUACUUGUCGCUCAAGUUUCCCGUUACCAAACCUUUAUCACCUCCAUCAUAUCAAAGGACUAAAGCAUCAGGUGAUGAAAUUCGUCUUUACGGUCAAUUGAGUUCGACCGUAUCACGAAUUGAAACAUCUAACCCGAUGUCGUUCAAAAUUUCCAUUGCGACCACAAGAAUAACUCACCGGCUUGGAUCUACUCAUUGGCCAGACCUCUGUUCAGGAAUGACACGUUUUUCCGCACAGACGGCCUCUAAUCGUUAAAGAAUUCGCUUUGUAAGGUCGAACGCUCAGCAUGUCUCGCUGAGAAGAAAGGAUGACCAAAGCCGGCAACAUGGGUAUGGAUUGUAAAACGGUCAGUGAAGUCGCCCCACCUGAUUACGUAAACGCAAGAUAGUGGAAGCGCCCAAAUCGUCGCAACCAACUGUCACAUAAGAAUGAAGAUGACUUGCAACUUUAGGGUGCUACUAACUAAGCAUUACCGCAAGAGGUUCGAAAAAUCUGCUGCCAGUACUACCACCUAAUCUUUUUCGACUUAAGUGCACAUUAGAGACUUUGGGAUCUGGAGCUCGUCCAGGGAGGAGUUCUGAUGAUGAUCUGAUGAAGAUGGUCUCGACCAGAGAAUGCAGUCCGAGCGAAAGCAUUGAAACUUCAGAUACUGAACUGGGAAGCCCGGCCAUAGAAUUCCGUCAACGCCGGAAUGGAUCCGAUGCCAGUUUCAAGUCGACGUCCAGCACGGAAUCGGAUUCAAUGCCGUUUGCCAACGACAACGCCGGUACCAUCAAACAGCGAAGUGGGCCGGCUCACUCGGCCCUUGCGGCACUGACGUACUCUUCUUCCUCUGUCGCCGUCGUUCUGUCUCCGUCACUCGGCCGACGGGCGCCAUCCCACCAGCAAAACCAACAUAAUCUCGGAACUAGCGACGUGUUGAACGACAUUGGCAACAUGCUAGCUGACCUGACGGACGAAUUGGGCUCUAUGUUCUUCGCCUGCCUUCCUCUUUCACCUUCGUGAGUGAUGAGCCGUGUGCUCUAACCAUUGCGCUAAGGUCGCACAUCUCGAUGUGAAUUAAAUCGAAUCAGUAUAGGCGUACAGACGCCUUGGGGUUCUUGAUCUACUUGACUUUUCGCAGUCUAAUCAUGAUGUAUCUGUGGCCUAAUGGAUAAGGCGUCGGCCUCCAAAGUCGGUGUCUGUGGGUUCAAGUCCCGAAUUUUCCAAUGAAAGUGCUGUAUAGUGGACAGAUGGAGAUAGAAGUUGUUCUUACUGGAUAAUCCCGAAGAAAACUGAUCGUUGCCAUAAAUGGACAGAUCAAUUUAUAUGAGAAAUACUAAACUAUUUUUAAAAAGCUCUGCUAUUAUGGGAUCCCACGGGUUGAAUUUUGUCGAGAUAGAGCAGAGUCUCCUCUGCGGUCCGCUUUCAAAGCGUUUAAUUUUAGAUUGUUAAAUAUGGUUAAAUGACGCAGAAUAUCUAAUAGUCGGCACCGUCACCGGUGUGGUUACGCAAUGCGCGCUGUAUGCAAAUAUGGCCGACAAGGCGACAACCAACCAUUCAUGCCGUUUUGAAGCCGAAACGCAUAAACUUUAUACACGCUCGAGCUGAUUUGAAUUCGCUGAGGUAUAUUCCUACAUUCUUAUUUCUCCCUUUUUCUUCUUCAAUUUAACACUGGUCCAUCUCGAUGGAAAUGAUUUCUUUUACGUUACGUGACGAUUUUAACUAGUGGUAUUUUUUUUUUCUUUCUCCGUCCUUUUUGUUAUUGCCCGCCCAGCCAACUGAUGUACCUAUAUAAUAUUGUAUGGAAUACAUGUACACGUUUAUCGUAUCCCACUUUUGAGCAGAUAAACGGUGUCUGUAAGCCAACUGCACGUUUUUUUUAUUGAAAAACAAAAACAAGCCCUCCUCAAUAAUCGGACUGGUUUGAACCCUUAUAUUUUUCAUCCAAUCUACGCGUUUUGAGUGUUCCUCCCGUCGUCCUUUGAUUUAUGCUAGCUUUUGAUCUUCACACUAAAUAAAAAGAUUUCUUCAUUUGA